ACUUAGAGGUCGAUCAGUGCUAGUGUUAGGGGGUUUCCAGCCCCUUAGUGCUGCAAGCUUAACAGCAUUAAGCACUCCGCCUGGGGAGUACGGUCGCAAGACUGAAACUCAAAGGAAUUGACGGGGGCCCGCACAAGCGGUGGAGCAUGUGGUUUAAUUCGAAGCAACGCGAAGAACCUUACCAGGUCUUGACAUCCUUCGAAAAUCCUAAAAAUUGGACGUCCCCUUCGGGGGCAAAGAGACAGGUGGUGCAUGGUUGUCGUCAGCUCGUGUCGUGAGAUGUUGGGUUAAGUCCCGCAACGAGCGCAACCCUUGAUCUUAGUUGCCAGCAUUUCGUUGGGCACUCUAAGGGGACUGGCGGUGACAAACCGGAAGAAGGGGGGGAUGAACUCAAAUCAUCCUGGCCCUUAUGAACUGGGCUACACACGUGCUACAAUGGACAGAACAAAGGGCAGCGAAACCGCGAGGUUAAGCCAAUCCCACAAAUCUGUUCUCAGUUCGGAUCGCAGUCUGCAACUCGACUGCGUGAAGCUGGAAUCGCUAGUAAUCGCGGAUCAACAUGCCGCGGUGAAUACGUUCCCGGGCCUUGUACACACCGCCCGUCACACCACGAGAGUUUGUAACACCCGAAAUCCGUGAGGUAACCUUUUAGGAGCCAGCCGCCGAAGGUGGGACAGAUGAUUGGGGUGAAGUCGUACAAAGGUUACCAA
rnacentral:rRNA from 1 species